rnacentral:rRNA from 1 species
GGGUGAGUAACACGUGAGUAACCUGCCCUUGACUCUGGGAUAAGCCUGGGAAACUGGGUCUAAUACCGGAUACGACCGCUCACCGCAUGGUGUGGUGGUGGAAAGCUUUUGCGGUUUUGGAUGGACUCGCGGCCUAUCAGCUUGUUGGUGGGGUAAUGGCCUACCAAGGCGACGACGGGUAGCCGGCCUGAGAGGGUGACCGGCCACACUGGGACUGAGACACGGCCCAGACUCCUACGGGAGGCAGCAGUGGGGAAUAUUGCACAAUGGGCGAAAGCCUGAUGCAGCGACGCCGCGUGAGGGAUGACGGCCUUCGGGUUGUAAACCUCUUUCAGUAGGGAAGAAGCGAAAGUGACGGUACCUGCAGAAGAAGCGCCGGCUAACUACGUGCCAGCAGCCGCGGUAAUACGUAGGGCGCAAGCGUUAUCCGGAAUUAUUGGGCGUAAAGAGCUCGUAGGCGGUUUGUCGCGUCUGCUGUGAAAGACCGGGGCUCAACUCCGGUUCUGCAGUGGGUACGGGCAGACUAGAGUGAUGUAGGGGAGACUGGAAUUCCUGGUGUAGCGGUGAAAUGCGCAGAUAUCAGGAGGAACACCGAUGGCGAAGGCAGGUCUCUGGGCAUUAACUGACGCUGAGGAGCGAAAGCAUGGGGAGCGAACAGGAUUAGAUACCCUGGUAGUCCAUGCCGUAAACGUUGGGCACUAGGUGUGGGGGACAUUCCACGUUUUCCGCGCCGUAGCUAACGCAUUAAGUGCCCCGCCUGGGGAGUACGGCCGCAAGGCUAAAACUCAAAGGAAUUGACGGGGGCCCGCACAAGCGGCGGAGCAUGCGGAUUAAUUCGAUGCAACGCGAAGAACCUUACCAAGGCUUGACAUGAACCGGUAACGCCUGGAAACAGGUGCCCCGCUUGCGGUCGGUUUACAGGUGGUGCAUGGUUGUCGUCAGCUCGUGUCGUGAGAUGUUGGGUUAAGUCCCGCAACGAGCGCAACCCUCGUUCUAUGUUGCCAGCGCGUGAUGGCGGGGACUCAUAGGAGACUGCCGGGGUCAACUCGGAGGAAGGUGGGGACGACGUCAAAUCAUCAUGCCCCUUAUGUCUUGGGCUUCACGCAUGCUACAAUGGCCGGUACAAAGGGUUGCGAUACUGUGAGGUGGAGCUAAUCCCAAAAAGCCGGUCUCAGUUCGGAUUGGGGUCUGCAACUCGACCCCAUGAAGUCGGAGUCGCUAGUAAUCGCAGAUCAGCAACGCUGCGGUGAAUACGUUCCCGGGCCUUGUACACACCGCCCGUCAAGUCACGAAA